rnacentral:rRNA from 1 species
UACGUAGGGGGCAAGCGUUGUCCGGAUUCACUGGGUUUAAAGGGAGCGUAGGUGGCCUUAUAAGUCAGUGGUGAAAUCUCUGGGCUUAACCCAGAAAUUGCCAUUGAUACUGUAGGGCUUGAGUAUAGAUGCCGUUGGCGGAAUAUGACAUGUAGUGGUGAAAUACAUAGAGAUGUCAUAGAACACCGAUUGCGAAGGCAGCUAACGAAACUAUAACUGACACUGAGGCUCGAAAGUGUGGGGAUCAAACAGG